rnacentral:lncRNA from 1 species
UAAAUGAGGCGGAUAGGCAGCGAAGCUGCAGCGAAUCAGAGUGCAAGGAUGGCAGGGCAGUUUUCACGCAUUUGCAACGAGGUACAGGCGGCAGCAGGCGAUACACCUCAAUACACCUUGCUUGGAUCCUUACCUUUGGUGCAGGUGACCCAGUUGCCGGUCGAGAGGUGGGCUGCGAGCUCCGAGGCCUGGGCGGGCUGCGGCUAGGGCUUGGAGGCUUGGGGCUGGGUGGUGGGGGGCUUGGAGGCGGGGGUGGCGAGGGCAGACGUGGCGGUGGCCGCAUCUUCGGGGACGGUGGAGGCUUGGUGCUGGGGGCCUUUUGUUGAACUGCCUUGGUGGCGGUCUUGCGCGGUGAUGGCGGUUGAGAAGGGGAUUCAAAUGCUGCCGUGUCCCUUCCCGCAAAGCCAGCAGGGCUGGAGGGCUGGGCUGGGCUAGGCGGCAUUUCGGGCAUGUCUGGCCAUUGGGGGAAGUUAAAAUAACACCAGACGAGGGGACCAAACGAAUAGAACUUCCGCGGCGGUGGUGGCGGUGGUGGGGGUGGUGGCGGUGGUGGCGGUAGCAACGAUGAUGGCUGUGUAGGUUUAAUGGAGGUUGAAUCGGCGUUUACGAUCAGAUUUUCCCCUGCUCCUCUGAGUUCUCCGUCAGUGGACCCGAGGCCAACUGUUGAUGGGGUGGAGCGAGAGGCGUGGUUAGCACCAUUCAUCUAGGUAAAAAAACACGAUGUGUUGCUUGCAGAAAGCUUACCUCCGGCUUGCAACACGAGGAGGACAAGGACAGCCAGGCACCUCAUUGUGCUCUAUCUAUGUCCUCCAGCGAGCAAAUGAAGUUGUAAAAUUAACGCAGUCCGGUGCGUGUAAGCUAAUAACUGCGCAGCACUCAGGCACGAUGGAGCUAGAGAAUGUUUGUGCAGCUGGCUUUCAAGCAGCUUCUGUUCUACCAAUGGAGUGGUAAGCGUUCGACUCCUCUAUACAGAAGUAAGGCAAUUCGCUCAACGUUACAGCUUGUUACAAGCUAUAUGUUAGUAAACAGCUUGAUUGCUGGUCUGGUUUUACGAAUUUAAAUGUUUUGGAUACUACUGAAUGUGGUAAGACGCCAGCCUUUAUACUGUAUCGCUUUACCCUACUACACUCAUUGUACGGACUGGACCUGUGCGAACGGGCUGGUGCAACAUACUUUGUGCUGUGCACAACGGGCAGUUCACUAACAGCAGCAGACAUCAGUGGGCAAUAUAUGAUAUAAAAUAUUAUAAUUAACAUACAAUGCAGGAUUUAGGCAGCUGGUGAGCUAAGAAUUUGCGUUAUCGACGAUUCGUGACAUAUGUAUGUUCCUCCGCGGUGUGCUUGUCGUCACGUACGUUUCUACAUAUACAAUUUAUCUUAGAUAUUAGUUCCUUAAUUUUUAGGUAGCUGGAAAAAUGGCGCCCGCCACGCAUAAUCGAUGCAGCAUUUCGCGGGUAGCACCAGACAAUCCCACGGGCUGGCUGAAAAUAAUAAUUAGAAACAAAUAAUAAGUUAUAUUGUAAUGGCGUGAGAUGGUCACCCAUCACUUUUCACGGGAAGGGUAGGAAGGGCACGAGCAGUGGCAGUAUACCGACUAAGCGUCCUUUUUCAAAUAGCGCAUGGCGGUGUCCUGUAUUAUGUUCUAGGUAAUCACAAUAAAUCAUUCAUUUUAACCACGUACAAAUGUAGGCCAACCGAUUCUGCAGUCACAAACAUGCAUGGCUGAGUAAUUACGAAUGGCAUGCAGGAACAUCAUCAUCAUCAUCAUCAUCAUCAUCAUCAUCAUCAUCCCAACAUGUUCAAAACGAUACGCCCUGGAGAAGCAUGGAAUUGCGAAAACUUUUCUUAACUGACGCCGCUUUCGUCAAUAGGCUUUCCUGUUUUGGCAGCAGGACGGAGUUCAGUUGCAGUAGUUUAUUUGGACCUAUCCACCUUUACUUCCGAGCACUCGUCAACCCAACGUGUACAUUGGUAGUUAAUACACAAGUUAGUAACUAGCCAUAAUGAAUGACCUGCGAGUACGACACCACGAGCAGUGCGUUGUGUUUUUGUUAUAUCCCAGCUGGCAAAGGCAGUGAGAUGUCAUCUUCCAUCUGAAUACAUAUGGACGGGGGCAGCAAAUGCAUGACAUGUUAUGGAGGAUGUUUGUCCUUUGAGUUUCCAAAAAUCCUCCAAACGGCAUAGCGGCACGGGGCUUAUUUUCAGCUAUUGUCGCGUAUUUGACUUUCAGCAUGCGCACGAUUAUGACCGAGGCCCCACCCCUGGCACUAGCCAGGUUCCUCUCGGAAGUCUGGGAGACCCGGCACGUUGCUUUAAGGCGCUUCAUGCUCAAGCGGACGAGUGAGGACGAUGAUGGUCCACCAUGUAACCGCACUAAAAACGAUUUACCGUCCAUGGGCCCCCCGGCUUUUACGGACACCCCCGCACUUGUGCGGAACUGGUAACUUGUAACUUGCAACUUGCAGUAACUUGCAACUUGUAACUUGUAACUUGUAACUUGCAACUUGCAGUAACUUGUAACUUGCAACUUGCAGUAACUUGCAACUUGCAGUAACUUGCAACUUGCAGUAACUUGUAACUUGUAACUUGUAGUCGUACAAGCGGGACGCGGGAGCCUGCAUGGUUUAAUGUGCGCCGUCAUAUCCGUCAAGUAAUGGGUUAUGGAUUGUUGUGAGUGAAUGGGUGUUCACGCAACGUUUUUCCACAGGGGCCAGGCCGGUCAGGGAUUAAUGAAUGUUGGGGAUGGGGGGAGUCGGUCAGAGGCCCCCUCCCCCACCCCAUCAGCAUUGAGCGUACAGCAGCGUCCGUACAAUCGUUUGCGAGUCGCGCAUGGGGCUGUGUCUGUGGUGCAACGACGCAAAUCUAGUCGUAAGCAAGUACCGUGAUGCGUGUGUCGUACAUGGAGCCGUGUCUCUCGCAGCCAUAGCACAGCAUAACAUCACAUGCAUGUGCUCAUAAAAGCAGCAAGGAAAGAUCAUCGGUGCCUUCACGACCAACUUGCUGCUGCUGGUCAUCACCCAACGUCUUCAGUUUGUAAUUUGGAGGCUAAGAGAGUUUAUUUUUGGAAGGGGGACAAGUAGCCCUUCGGUUCCCCGCUCCCGUCUCACAUGAGAUGGUUUCAAUUCAGGGCGGAUUUCCAUGGCGUAUACGUUGUGUACGGCUAUUCGGGACAGCACAACCCAUGAAGGGACGAUGGGGGGAGGAGGGGGGAUGGAUGGGGGGGGAUGGAUGGGGGAAAGGGUGGUUGGACCUCUCCUUCCCUAUGAAGUGGGGGGGAAAACUUGGGGAAAACCCUGGUGGGUUCCGGCAACGGACGGGAAAUGACUGGAGCCCGUUAACACUUCUAUUAAAUUUGCUUCCAGGAGCACUAGAACGAGUCCGUCUUAACGAACAGAAGCGAGCCUCCCGACAUGCUACCGUUAGUAAGCUGGUCCCAAUGACCUUGACCACCAAACAAUGUUGUACAUUAAUGUGCGAGUAAAGCACUUCAAGCUACUCGCCCCUGUACAGUACCUAGGCAAUCCGCCUACAUGGUCAGGGGCUGCAUUUGCUCCUUCUUCCAUUUCCCCCCCCCCCCCCACACACACACACUAGUCCUAAUCCCCCCAGACCAGAUCGCAACGGACCGCCGAAAAGCUGAUUACAGGGCACGAUGGAGGAUGGCGACAGCAGGUUAUGGCCAAUCGGCACUCUGGAUCCAUCGUGCUAUAUGUGCUUAUGAUGCUUGAUGGAUCGAGAUUCGCACCACGCUGGAUUGGUGGCGAUUGCUGAACCCUCUGUCCCUGCGGAUGUUCGGGUGAAAGGAUGAGGAGGGAUCCUAGAAGGCAGGAUCAACCGCCUUGGACUUCCAGUUCGUACGGUGUAGUACAGUAUGGAAAUAGUGGAUGGUGCUGUAUAGUGAUAAAUCGUAGAAAUGAUCAUGUGUUCAGGUGGCCCAGAAGCCUCCCGCUCUGUAACAAUUCAAUUCGAAAUAUGUUCUUAUAAAACCCUUUAAGGCCUUCUGCGCGCCAGGCACCUCACGUACAUGGUCCUAUCCGCUAUGAGCAUUUGUCGCAUGCUUCGGAGUCCGCCUCAGCAGCCACAGUGGUUGGGGGUCCGGCCUGAGCACUUUCAUUUCCCCUACCUUGGACUGCCCGCCUCACGUAAACGGCAGGUGUUGUUUGUUUCGUACCGCGUGCGUCGCGUGUAUGGCCGACCCGAGGGUAGCUUUAAGCUGCACCGGUUGGUGCCUGUAGUAGCUGGUACACAGUACGGCUUCUACAAAUACGCGCGUAGCGUGACCACCAGCAUCUCGAGAGGCCUUUUCAGUGGCCAGCUACUACAGCGCCUGCCUACUGUGUCUUGCUUUGUGUGUCGUCCGGCAACAUUGUGCUACCGUUCUUUCCUUUUCUUCACGCACGCAGUCAUUCAGGCCCCCUUGCGGUAUGCGGCCCCCCUUGCGGUAUGCGGCCCCCCUUGCGGUAUGCGGGCCCCCUUGCGGUAUGCGGCCCCCCUUGCGGUAUGCGGCCCCCCUUGCGGUAUGCGGCCCCAAUCCCAGCCAGAGCAAAUGGACUAAGGAUGGAACGACUAGGCGACUGUAACACGGUAAUGGUGGUCUGCGUGGCUGCAUUAUUGGUGAACAUGCUGUGUUAGGGGCAGGACAUCAUAUCAUAGGCCCCGCUUGCUAUCCGCACGCUUCUGCUGUCAUUCUCUGUUAUAUCACGACUUCAGAAAAGUACCGAUCGGCGGAUGUAGAUCCCGUGAUAAGCCGGGGCCUUAAGAUCCUCAGAGGCGCACGUUGCUGUGAGGUCACCGUUAGGUGUAACUGCUAACCGUUGCUUCACAACAAGGAAAGAUUUGGAACACAGAGUAAUGGCAUUUUGGCGUACGAGAUAUCUGUAUCAACUAUCCUAAAAAGCUUGCAUGACGAGGUUGAGAUGCAACGAACGAAGGCCCUUAUCGCCCUGUCGUGCCUCCACUGCAAAGACAACGCAUUUAUUAAGGAUGGCCCACCCCGACCAUAGUAUCAUUUACAUACAAUUCGGCAUUAAGAAUAUCAAAAAAUUACAUCGUUACAUGAACCAGCAUCACCACUCCCCGUCUACGUGGUUGCUCCUACCGGCAUGUUCCCUACCUGCCCUACCCUCUGGCCCAACAUGCCAAGCUGUAGUAGCUGGUACGCAGUACGGCACACAUAUCAACGACAAAUACGCGCAAAGCGCUCGACCAGCAUCUCGAGAGGCCUUUUCAACGGCCAGAUACCACACAAGCAAGGCGGUCGUGACGACAAUUAACAACCUAUGAGUUAAAUUCCACUAGCCAAUCAAUUAAAGCCAUGCAGAAAGCAUCUAAAAUCAUGUUUACCUAAAAUCCUCAAUCAAUGAACGUGCAUCAUGCCUACGUGGGCAUGCAUCACCCGCCCCUACGUGUACGUGCAUCCCAUGAUGAAUGAUUUCAUCAUCAUUCAAAUCCACCGUGGAUGUGACAACCAGCACUUGCAUGCAGCGUCGGCAACCUCACGCCCUCGCCUAACGCAUGCUGCUUUUGUAAUGGAAUUGUCACGUUACGCGGAAUAUUCUAAACAGGAUAUAAAAGUAAUGUCGCGAGCUACGCAUCAGUCUGCAUGUACGAUGACUAUGUACACGCACGUGUCAUGCGCACACGCAUGCACGUGCUGAAAAGGUGCCUUCGAGCUAUAGAUAUGGAUCUACUGACGAAGGCGCUAGGACUGCAGCCUCUACAUUGCUAGCUAGGAAAUCAAUUUAGGAGCCUGAUGGUCUCUGCUAAGGAAGAAUUAAUGUCAGUAAUCACACCAAUCAAUGAACUAUCAUUGGAGCCUGUUCACGACCUGCAAACCUCUCCUCUAGCUAGAGCUAUAGCUCAGAUUUAAGUAGCUUAAACAAACUACUCAACCUCAUCACUUUCCGUAUCCAAGGCACCCUGCACUACGUGCGCGCACGGUAGGACGGUAGAUCCUGAGCAAGACACCACAUACAAUCCAAGACCAUCAGGAUACCAGCUAUAGAUGACACCACCCUAUUCUCCCCCACCACUACCGACGCGUUGGUACGCAUUGCCGCCUGCCAGAUUGAGCUUUCCAACAUGCUGCACGCAAUCAGGAAACGCAGCACAGCUCGGUUUGGCAGCACUGAGUCAAUGAGCCCCUAUAUACGGUGGCUGACGGGCCCAGAGCUCACAACAACCUCCUGUUGGAGCGACAGCGGCAGCGACAUGACCUGUGCAUGCCUCGUCAUGCAUCCACAAGGGCAUGCGCAUAGCACUGUGUCUAAUGGCCGCCAUCGGAUGCCUACAGUCGGAGCAAGCGGCGGGAGGCCUGCAAGGGCGGGGAUCAUUUCCAGGGGCGGGGAAGAAGGUAAAUGAGGCGGAUAGGCAGCGAAGCUGCAGCGAAUCACAGUGCAAGGCUGGCAGGGCAUUUUUGUGCACAAGUAGCUGCACGUGGCAAGGAGCAGGCUGCUACAGAUCCCAGCAGGAUUUCUGAAUGGAUAACCACAUGAACGAGGGGUCUAUAUCUGCACAGAAAUCCCACACAUGGUGCCGAUAUACAAGCCGUAACUUCCAUCAUCAUGAUCCAGUUUUUUACCUUUGGUGCAGGUGACCCAGUUGUCGGUCGGGAGGUGGGCUGCGAGCUCCGAGGCCUGGGCGGGCUGCGGCUAGGGCUCGG